GACGAACGCUGGCGGCGUGCUUAACACAUGCAAGUCGAACGGAAAGGCCCUGCUUUUGUGGGGUGCUCGAGUGGCGAACGGGUGAGUAACACGUGAGUAACCUGCCCUUGACUUUGGGGUAACUUCAGGAAACUGGGGCUAAUACCGGAUAGGAGCUCCUGCUGCAUGGUGGGGGUUGGAAAGUUUCGGCGGUUGGGGAUGGACUCGCGGCUUAUCAGCUUGUUGGUGGGGUAGUGGCUUACCAAGGCUUUGACGGGUAGCCGGCCUGAGAGGGUUACCGGCCACAUUGGGACUGAGAUACGGCCCAGAAUCCUACGGGAGGCAGCAGUGGGGAAUAUUGCACAAUGGGCGGAAGCCUGAUGCAGCAACGCCGCGUGCGGGAUGACGGCCUUCGGGUUGUAAACCGCUUUCGCCUGUGACGAAGCGUGAGUGACGGUAAUGGGUAAAGAAGCACCGGCUAACUACGUG
rnacentral:rRNA from 1 species